CCAUCACUCUCGAGAAUGGUACAAAACUUUAUGAAAUGUACGAUAGAUUUUCUGUCUCCAAUGAAACAGGGAAAUAUCAACUUUUUCUUGCAGGACCUGCCACGGGGACCUUAGGUGACAGUAUGUUAGACACUGGUUAUCCAAUUUACUACGAUCUGUCUGGGAUGUACUUCUCCACCCCAGACAGAGAUAACGACGUGUAUGGUGACUAUAACUGUGCUGCUAGCAAUGGAGGAGGCUGGUGGUUUAAUAUCUGUCACCGGGCCUUCCUUAACGGUCGCUGGUCCCCGGGACACUGGAUCGACCCGUGGUCUCCUACAGUAGAGUGGGGGAUGUACGUGAGGGGGACCUUGAUGAUGAUAAAACGUCACUAGAUAAAACACCAUCCAUCAUCAAGACAAACCCGAUUUCAAUUAAUAUUUAUCGAGGG